AAAGCAACUUUUAUGUCAUUUUUGUAAUGGUUUGUUUAAAAUCAAUUUUUAUACAGACAUGAUAGGGUGUCUCCUGGCUAGAAGCCUGCAUAUACAUAUACAAAUUUUCAGUUUUGUCAAUAAUAAUAGUUUAUUUUAUAAUUUCAAUUCUUACAAGAUUUGCAAUAAGUCAACAGAAUAAGUAUUCUAUUCUGAACUGUUGACAGGAAACAGUGUAAAUUCAUGAUCUCAUCCAAUAUGACACAAGAAUUCGAGACCCCCACCUCGGGCAUACCAGGGGUUAAUUUGGUGUGCGAAAUUCAGUGAAGUCCCCUGCAGCCAGGGCAAAAUGGCAAGGUAAAUUUCUUCGGUCCUAUCAUCCCCAGGUAUUCAAUUGGAAUUUUUACUUGAAAUUUCCCAAACCAUUCCUUUACUGUUCUAUAAAAGCCUUUCCUAGCCGACUGCUUUAUUUCAGCAUUUAUAUAGCCGACUGCUUUGUUUCAACAUUUAUAUAAAAGACUAAGUGACCCCCUCCCCCAUGACCUCAUUCAUUCCUCGACUUGGACACUGAAAGUAAGUGUCUU